rnacentral:rRNA from 1 species
UGGGGAAUAUUGCACAAUGGGCGAAAGCCUGAUGCAGCGACGCCGCGUGAGGGAUGGAGGCCUUCGGGUUGUAAACCUCUUUCAGUAAGGGUGAAGGCUCUCUUUUGUGGAGGGUUGACAGUACUUGCAGAAGAAGCGCCGGCUAACUACGUGCCAGCAGCCGCGGUAAUACGUAGGGCGCGAGCGUUGUCCGGAAUUAUUGGGCGUAAAGGGCAUCUAGGCGGUUAAACAAGUUGAAGGUGAAAACCUGUGGCUCAACCAUAGGCUUGCCUACAAAACUGUAUAACUAGAGUACUGGAAAGGUGGGUGGAACUACACGAGUAGAGGUGAAAUUCGUAGAUAUGUGUAGGAAUGCCGAUGAUGAAGAUAACUCACUGGACAGCAACUGACGCUGAAGUGCGAAAGCUAGGGGAGCAAACAGG